AGUUCGUGGAGUGAUUUGUCUGGUUAAUUCCGUUAACGAACGAGAUUUUACCUAGCUAAUUGGGCACUCGAAGAUGUUCUUCGCUGCGCCGCCAUUAGAAGGAUCCAGUGCAUUCAGCACAAGGAAGCGUGAAGCAAUAACAGGUC
rnacentral:rRNA from 1 species